rnacentral:rRNA from 1 species
UACGGGGGGGGGUAAGCGUUGUUCGGAAUUACUGGGCGUAAAGGGCUCGUAGGCGGCCAACUAAGUCGGAUGUGAAAUCCCCAAGCUUAACUUGGGAACUGCAUCCGAUACUGGAUGGCUUGAAUCCGGGAGAGGGAUGCAGAAUUCCAGGUGUAGCGGUGAAAUGCGUAGAUAUCUGGAGGAAUACCGGUGGCGAAGGCGGCAUCCUGGACCGGCAUUGACGCUGAGGAGCGAAAGCCAGGGGAGCAAACGGG